ACAGCCAUGAGCCAUGGGAGAUGUCCUUGAAAUGCAUUCAUUCUGUGGGAGAAAGGACUUGGGCUGCUGCUGCUAAUGCCUACCCUUUUUCUGCGGCUUUGGCAUUUCAUAGGCAGGCCGCAGGACAGGUGAGGGGACAGAGGCCUGGAGGAAUGCAAUGCCUUUUUUGCAAUCAUUCAUGUUUUGGGAACUUUCUUCUUUAUCAAACUUUAGUGCUAAAUCAUCCAGGUUUUGUAUCUGGACUCUGGAUGGCUCUUAGAGAGAAAGGAAUUGAACACUGCAAGUCUGGACAAGAGAUCAAUGAAGUGGAAAUGCUAUGCAAAUAUUCUAAGAAAAGCAGAGAGUCUGCUACUUCUCAAUGAGUGAGACUUCUGAAGCACACACAACAAGAGCAAUCA
rnacentral:lncRNA from 1 species